rnacentral:rRNA from 1 species
UACAGAGGUCCCAAGCGUUGUUCGGAUUCACUGGGCGUAAAGGGUGCGCAGGUGGGUUGGCAAGUUUGACGUGAAAGCCCCGGGCUUAACCCGGGAAUGGCGUUGAAAACUGCUGAUCUGGAGGAUCGGAGGGGGGACUGGAAUUCUUGGUGUAGCAGUGAAAUGCGUAGAUAUCAGGAGGAACACCGGUGGCGAAGGCGGCUUUCUGGACAGUAACUGACGCUGAGGCGCGAAAGCUAGGGGAGCAAACAGG